rnacentral:rRNA from 1 species
GAUUUUAUCGCUGAGAGAUGGGCUCGCGGCCGAUUAGGUAGUUGGUGAGAUAACAGCCCACCAAGCCGACGAUCGGUAGCCGGACUGAGAGGUUGAACGGCCACAUUGGGACUGAGACACGGCCCAGACUCCUACGGGAGGCAGCAGUGGGGGAUAUUGCACAAUGGAGGAAACUCUGAUGCAGCGACGCCGCGUGAGGGAAGACGGUCUUCGGAUUGUAAACCUCUGUCUUUAGGGACGAAAAAAUGACGGUACCUAAGGAGGAAGCCACGGCUAACUACGUGCCAGCAGCCGCGGUAAUACGUAGGUGGCAAGCGUUGUCCGGAAUUACUGGGUGUAAAGGGAGCGUAGGCGGGGAGACAAGUUGAAUGUUUAAACUAUCGGCUCAACUGAUAGUCGCGUUCAAAACUAUCACUCUUGAGUGCAGUAGAGGUAGGCGGAAUUCCUAGUGUAGCGGUGAAAUGCGUAGAUAUUAGGAGGAACACCAGUGGCGAAGGCGGCC